UCCGGCUUAUCACCGGCAGUCGCCUUAGAGUGCCCAACUAAAUGAUGGCAACUAAGGCCGAGGGUUGCGCUCGUUGCGGGACUUAACCCAACAUCUCACGACACGAGCUGACGACAGCCACGCAGCACCUGUGUACUGGUUCUCUUGCGAGCACUCCCAAAUCUCUCCAGGAUUCCAGCCAUGUCAAGGGUAGGUAAGGUUUUUCGCGUUGCAUCGAAUUAAUCCACAUCAUCCACCGCUUGUGCGGGUCCCCGUCAAUUCCUUUGAGUUUUAAUCUUGCGACCGUACUCCCCAGGCGGUCUACUUCUCGCGUUAGCUGCGUUACUAAGGGAUUUAACUCCCCCAACAACUAGUAGACAUAGUUUAGGGCGUGGACUAC
rnacentral:misc_RNA from 1 species